AAGAAAUGCCCAAAGAGAAAUAAAAAAUAUAUGUUAAGUGUGAUGAAUAGAGUGAACGAAAGAGACAAACAUGACACACCAAUGUGCCUUAGAGACAUUUAACAAUAAUUAUUUUUUUAUGAAUCGUUUCUUGCUUUAGUAAAAAAAAAAAUGAAUGGCUUCUUGCAACAUCACAACCCUAAAAACUAUUUUAUUAAAGUUAACAAAACAUGAAAACUUUUCUUAUAAAGUGAUCUACAAUUUCAUAUUUAUUACAUACAAAGGAGAAAAAAUAUGGCCCAAAUUCCACAUUUUGUGUAUAUUGUGAUCAUAUUUCUUUCUCUAUUUCUUGUCCCAACCAAUAGUGUCAUUAAAACUUCUAGUAUUCCCUGCAAUCUACCCAAUGAAUGUCCAGCAAUUUUGUGUACUCCUCCUCUAAUUCGGUGGUGCAUUGAUCACUUUUGUUCGUGUGUGUAAAUGUAACAAUUAAGUUGAAAAAUUAACUCUUGUUAUGAAUAAUAAUAUGUAAUGAAUGUCCAUUAUUGUGUA